rnacentral:rRNA from 1 species
AUUGAACGCUGGCGGCAGGCCUAACACAUGCAAGUCGAGCGAGCGGCGGACGGGAGAGUAAUGUAUGGGGAACGGACUGAUGGAGGGGGAUAACUACUGGAAACGGAGGCUAAUACCGCAUACUAGCGGCUGUACCCACAUGGGAUUAGCUAGUAGGUGGGGUAAAGGCUCACCAAGGCGACGAUCCUUAGCUGGUCUGAGAGGAUGAUCAGCCACACGGGGACUGAGACACGGACCAGACUCCUACGGGAGGCAGCAGUGGGGAAUAUUGAACAAUGGGCGCAAGCCUGAUGCAGCCAUGCCGCGUGUAUGAUGAAGGCCUUAGGGUUGUAAAGUACUUUCAGCGGGGAGGCGUUACCCGCAGAAGAAGCACCGGCUAACUCCGUGCCAGCGGCCGCGGUAAUAC